rnacentral:rRNA from 1 species
AUACGUAGGUGGCAAGCGUUGUCCGGAUUUAUUGGGCGUAAAGCGCGCGCAGGCGGUUUUUUAAGUCUGAUGUGAAAGCCUUCGGCUCAACCGAAGAAGUGCAUCGGAAACUGGAAAACUUGAGUGCAGAAGAGGACAGUGGAACUCCAUGUGUAGCGGUGAAAUGCGUAGAUAUAUGGAAGAACACCAGUGGCGAAGGCGGCUGUCUGGUCUGUAACUGACGCUGAGACUCGAAAGUAUGGGUAGC